rnacentral:rRNA from 1 species
UACGUAGGGUGCGAGCGUUGUCCGGAAUUACUGGGCGUAAAGAGUGCGUAGGUGGUUUGUUAAGUCUGCUGUGAAAUCCCCGGGCUCAACCUGGGAAUGGCAGUGGAUACUGGCAAGCUAGAGUGCGGUAGAGGGUAGUGGAAUUCCCGGUGUAGCAGUGAAAUGCGUAGAGAUCGGGAGGAACACCAGUGGCGAAGGCGGCUACCUGGACCAGCACUGACACUGAAGCACGAAAGCGUGGGGAGCAAACAGG